UACGUAAGGUGCGAGCGUUGCCCGGAUUUAUUGGGCGUAAAGGGCGCGCAGGCGGUACGGCACGUCCGUUGUGAAAUCGCUCGGCUCAACUGGGCGGGGGCAGCGGAUACGGCCGCACUUGAGCAAGCUAGGGGGCAAUGGAAUUCCCGGUGUAGUGGUGGAAUGCGUAGAUAUCGGGAGGAACACCAGUGGCGAAGGCGGUUGCCUGGAGCUUUGCUGACGCUGAGGCGCGAAAGCGUGGGGAGCGAUCCGG
rnacentral:rRNA from 1 species